UGAAUUCAUUUAUUAACUAAAACUUAGGAAGUUUAAACGAAACUUUUAAUGGUUUCCAAAAUUUAUUCUGUUUAAGAAAUAGAAAGAAAAUAAAUAAAAAGAAAAUGGUGAGAGGAACUAUUCACCGUCCUCAAUCCUUCUCCAACCCCUCACGAAAUCGCUCUCUCAAAACCCAUUCUCCACGAACCUCUCAUAAAAAGAAAAUGGUGAGAGGAACUAUUCACCGUCCUCAAUCCUUCUCCAACCCCUCACGAAAUCGCUCUCUCAAAACCCAUUCUCCACGAACCUCUCUCUUGCUCUCAACGAACAUCUCAACCUUC
rnacentral:lncRNA from 1 species